ensembl:lncRNA
AGAAGGUGCCAGCAAAGCUGGCACCAGUGCUGGCUUAUUUCACAGUGAAACCAAAGACCAGAUAGGUAACCAGAUAGAAUGGAUAGUUCCCCUGAAAAAGCUCUAGGGUGGCAAGAAAGUCUUAGUUUAGGGGACCUUGUAAAUCCCAGAAAGUGACAAUAAUCAAUGCAGUGCUCCUCCACGGAUUGACAAAAAAGACUCAGAGACUCUGAUGUCACCAACACUAAUCUGAGAGAUCAGACAGAUCACUGAAACUUCAUAAUUCUGAACUUUUAAAAUUGGGUGGGUGGGUGGAUGGGGGUUAAUAUUGUUUGAGGUAAAUGAAAAAGUCUAGGGAACCUGGGGAGAGACCAAGCAGAGCUGACUGCUCCCUGAAAAGUGUAGCAAGAUUUGAAGUCAAACCUCAUCACAAAGCCCCAAUUAAAAAAGUAAAGAGAUGAAUAAAUCAAAGAAAAUGCUGACAUAAAACAAAGUAUUGAAAAUCUAGACCCCUUUAAAGUAGGAGAGAGUAACUUCAUAAUAACUUUAAACUCUCAAAAGAAAAAAAUAUUGAUUUCUUGAAGCAAAAUUUUAUGAUUUUGAUUAUGAUUAUGAUUAUGAUUAAAAGUUUUUAAUUUUAAAUUAAAACUUUUAAAUUUAACUUUUAAUUUAAUUUAAUUCUAACUUUUAAAUUAAAAACUAAGACUUUUUGGACUACCUGAAAGCCAUGAUCAAAGAAAGAGCCUAGAUAUCAUAUUUGAAAAAAUUAUCAAGGAAAGCUUUCCUGAUCUCUUUGAUCUAGAGAGCAAGGUAGAAAUUGAAAGAAUCUACUGAUCACCUCCUGAAAGAGAUCCCAAAAUGAAAACUCCCAGAAAUAUUAUAGCCAAAUUCUAAAGCUCCCAGGUCAAGAAAGAAAAAUUUUCAAGUAGUCACAAAAAAAAUUAAUUCAAAUAUUGUGGAACCAUAGUCAGGAUCCCACAAAAUUUGGCAGCUUUUACAUUAAAUAAGUGGAGGAAUAUGAUAUUCCAGAAGAUAGACAAAUUAGGGUGACAGCCAAAAAGAACUUAUCUAUGUAUAAUAUUUUGGGAAAAAAUGCAUAUUUAAUGAAAUUGGGAACUUCUAAGCAUUCCUAAUGAAAACAGAAUUAAAUAAAAAAUUUGAUGUUCAAACACAAAAUUCAAAAAACACACACUAAAAGGUAAACAUGAAAGAGUCGCCAAAAGGGAAUUAAUAAAGUUAAACUAUUUAUAUUCCUAUGUAGGAAGAUGAUACAUAGGUUUAUCAUUAUUAGGAUCCUUAAAAGGAAUUUAAGGGGCAGCUAGGUGGUACAGUAGAUAGAGCACCAGCCCUUGAAGUCAAGAGGACUUGUAUUCAAAUUUGACCUCAGACACUUAAUACUUCCUAGCUGUGUGACCCUGGGCAGGUCACUUAACCCCAAUUGCCUCAGCCAAAAAAAGAGGAGUUUAUAUAGAAAGAGGACAUGGGUAUGACUUGAUUAUGUUGGGAUGAUUACAAAAAAACCUGAAAUGAUUAAGAAAGAGAGAUACGCUGGGAGAAAAGGAGAGGUUAAAAAAAGGGGGAAUUUUUUUCACAUAAAAGGUGCAUAAAGAAGAGAUUGUACAUAGUGAACAAUGAACCUCACUCUCAUUGGAAUUAGCUCAAACAAGAAUAUAUACAUACACAGUUGUGUGUAGAAAUGUAAUUUACCCCAUGGGGAAAUAGGAAAAGGGGAUAAAAGGGAAGGAGACAUAACAAAUGAAAGGGUAGAUUAAGAGAGACAGCAGUUAGAAGCAAAAUAGACUUGAGGAGGGACAGGAUAAAAAGAUGAAGAAACUUCAAAGAAAAUAGAAAAAGCAUGGGAAUCAUAACUGUGUGAAUGGGAUGAACUCACACAUUAAACAAAACAAAUAGCAGAAUGGAUUAGAAAUCAGAAUCUAACAAUACAUGGUUUAUAAGACACGAAACAAAAAAUACACAUAGAGUUAAAAUAAAGGACAGGAGCAGAAUCUAAUAUGCUUCUGCUGAAGUUAAAAAGGCAGGAAAUAGCACAGGAUUUCACCUGAGUUCACGAAAGUCUACAGAAUUGAUCAAAUUGUAAAGCAAAAAUAGAAUUAAAAGAAGUCAGGGAAACUAUAUUGUUCUAAAAGGUACCAUAGACCAUGAAGAAUAAUAUUAUUUUUUCUUUUUUCUCCUUUUUUUUUUUAAUAAUUAUAACUUUUUAUUGACAGAGCCCAUGGCUGGGUAAUUUUUUACAACAUUAUCCCUUGCACUCACUUCUGUUCCGACUUUUCCCCUCCCUCCCUCCACCCCCUCCCCCAGAUGGCAAGCAGUCCUAUACAUGUUAAAUAUGACACAGUGUAUCCUAGAUACAAUAUAUGUGUGCAGAACCGAACAGUUCGAAGAGUAAUAUUAAAAAAAAACUUACAAUAUGUUUUUAUGAUAAAGGUGUCAUUUCUCAGAUAUAUAAUGGGUAGAGAACUAGGUCAGAAUUUAUGUAGUUUUUUUUUUUUUUAAUAGCCAUUCCUCAAUUGAUAAAUAGUCAAAGAAUAAAAUUUAUCUAUAGUCAUUUCAAAAAAUGCUCUAAAUCAUGGUUGAUUAGAUAAACGCAAAUUAAAAUAAUUCUGGGUGUCACCUCACAUCUAUCAAAGAUGAUAAAUGCUAGAGGGGGUCAGAGAAAAAUAGUUAUACUAAUGUAAACAAACAUACAGAUGUACUUUGUUGGUAGAAUAGUGAAAGUGUCAAAUCAUUCUGGAAAAAAUUUGGAAUGUUGCCUAAAGUGUUAUAAAAUUGUAUAUAUCCUUUGACCCAGCAAUACUCUUACUAGGUCUGUACACCAGAGAUCAUAGAAAAAGGAAAAGAUACAAAGGUACAAAAAAUGUUUAUACCAGCUUUUGUGUGUGUGUGUGUGUGUGUGUGUGUGUGUGUGUGUGUACUGAUAAAGAAAUGGAAAUUGAGGGCAUGUUCAUCAGUUGAUGGAGUACUAUUGUGCUGUGAGAAAUGAAAAGGGGGUGGUUUCAGAGGGGAAAAUAUGGCAAGAAUUAUAUGAACUGAUACAAAAUGAAGUGAGAAGAGCUAAAUCAUUGUGCACAGCAGCAGCGUUGUAAUAAUCAACUGUGAAAGACAUAACUACUCUGAUUCAGUACUGAUCCAGGACAAUGAUUCAGGACAAUCCCAAAGGACUCAUGAUGAAAAAAAGAGUGAAUUUGUGAACUCUGGAUACAAAUUGAAGUAUAAUUUUCUCAGUUUCUUUUUAUUGCUUUUUAAAAAAUAUGACUAAUACAGAAAUGUAUUUUGCAUGAUUUCACAAGUUUGAUGUGGGAGGGGGAAUGCAAGGAAGGGAGAGAAUUUGGAACUGAAAGUUUAAAAAAAAAAGAGAGAAUAUUUUAAAGUAAAUAAAAUGUUUUUAAAAAUAAAAUAAAAAUCUGAACACAAUUUGUCAAAAAAUUAGAAGAAUCUUCCAAAUCUGUUAGAACUAGAAAGCAAAAUAAACCUAAAAAGAAUUCAUCACUUACCUCCUGAAAGGAACACCAAAAUAAAAAGUCCCAGCUAUUUCUUUGAGGAACAUAGUGAAGAGUACACAAAACUUAGUGACUUGUAUUAAAACAGAUUUUGGGAUACAAUAUUUCAAAAAUUAAAAGAGACAAUAACCAAUAACUUAUUUUAUCAAGUAGUCCUAUAGUGGAAAAGAUGGAGCUUUAAUGGACUAGAGGACUUUGAAUUAUUUUAUGAAAAGAACUAAUAAUGUUGAAAUAUAAGCAUGAGUAUAGAGAAACUUAGGAAGGUUUCUCUCAAAACAAUAAUUUGAAUAAUUUUUUAGGACAUUCUAAAGUGGGAAAAGAAACAAGUUUCCCUUCAGAAUAUUAAUUUCUUCAAAGGGUACUAAAGAAAAAACCAGGUAAGUUGGUUGUUUUCAUGGCUUGAAGAAUGGAAAGUAAGAGGAGAGUCAGUGUAACAUAUGAGGGUAGAAAGGUUAAAGGCUUGAACACUCCCAUCAUCACAAACUUUGGUGUAGAAAUGCACCAAGUUCAACAGGAAAACAAAUGAGGAUGGGGAGGUAGAAAAUUAACAGGAAAGAUAAUACUGGGGAAGAAAUAGUCAGAAGCAAAACGAACUUCCUGAUCCUGACAUAGAAGAUUAAAAGGGAUUUUUUAAAAAGAAAACAAAAGCAAAAAAUUAGACUUUAAGGCCAUACUUUAGAGUACUCUUAGAAAACUGAGGAAUUGCUAAAUAAAUUAUAAUAUGUGAUUGUAAUAGAAUAUUAUACCUUUCAGAAAUUAUGAAAGAAAUAGUUUCGGAAAAUCCUGGGAAGUAUGGAAUGAUAAAGAAUGGAGUGAGCAGAACCAGAAGAGCAAUUUAUACAAUUAAGAAUAAUGCCUUGAAGUGGUUAUUAUAUCCUAAUGAAUGGGAGUAGUAAGGAUAAGAUAAAGGAAGGUAAGGGGAAAUUGUCUCACAUAAUGGGUGCUCAAGUUGAAGUCUAUAUAAAGAGGAAUGGGAUAGAGCAACUGACACUUGAAUCUUAUUUUCAUGUGAACAGUUCAAAUGAGGAGAAAAUACAUACAUAGUUGUGAAGAGAAAUACAUUUGAAGAAAAUGUAUUCCUGUAUCUAACAAGAAAAGGGAGAAGGUGAAUUAUAGGAAGGAUAAAUUAGGGAAAAGAUGAGUCCUAAAUACAAACAAUCUCAAAAUACAAAUAGGUUGUAGAGGUUUUUUGACGUGGCAAAGCAUAGAAAUCUAAGGGAACAUCCAUCAUUUGGGGGAAUGGCUGAACAAGUUAUAAUAUAUAAAUGUGAAGGAACCCUAUUGUAUUCUUAAAAAAUAAUGAAGGGGCUGUUUUCAGAGAUACCUGGGAAAAUUUGUAGGAAUAGACACAGAGUUAAGUGAACAGAACCAAGAGAACAAUUUAUAUGAUGAGAAUGAUAUUGUAAAAACAAACAGUUUGGAAAUACUUACAAAGUGUGUUCAGCAUAAUGCCAAUGAUGAACCAUACAAUCUGUAAUAAAGAGGUAAAGAAUUCAGUGCAGAAUGAGACGUGUGUAUGUGUAUGCACGUGUAUGUGCACAUGCACAUAUUUGUAUAUAUUUUCUGUCAGAUAUAACCAGUUCAGAAAUUUGUCUUGUUUGACUGUAAAGGGAUGGGAUUUUUAGAAAAACAAUUUUAAAAAGAAAAUAUCUGUGUAGCACCCCUUCUCCCCAGCACAUUCACACAACUUGCACCCUAGUUAGAUAAGAGAUUAAUUUCCCAGAAGGGAUGGCUACUUAUCCGAUGCAGGGAUCUUCAAACUACUGUCCACAGGCCAGAUGCGUCAGCUGAGGACAUUUAACCCCUCAUCCAGGGCUAUGAAGUUUCUUUAUUUAAAGGCCCACAAAACAAAGUUUUUGUUUUUACUAUAAUCCCGCCCUCCAACAGUCUGAGGGACAGUGAACUGGCCCCCUAUUUAAAAAGUUUGAGGACCCAAGGGUUGUAAGAUAAUACUAUGGGUGGCUAUUUCUGCUACAGUAGCUUCUGAGCUCUCACCAGCGUGCUUUCCCUUAAAUCAUCCAGUUGCCUCAGUUAACUCUCAGAAACAUUUAACCUCAAGGACAAAGCAAGAAUAAGCAUACAUCACAUUUUGCUCAUAAACUGAGGGCAUUCUGUCCUUCACAUAAAGCAUUUAUAGGGAAAGUAGACAUAAAUUUAAAUCAGUGUCAUAGUAAGGAACAUGUUACUAUUCUCCCCAGAAUCACUGAUUCUUAAAGAUUCACUAUGUUGAAUGACUGCUAAGAAAUCAUUAACCUGGUAUUUGCAGAAGCUUCUCCAAUUCUUUUUCCCUUGCCAGUACUAAGAGGGUUUUUCACCUUCUCCACCUCGCCCUACUUCAAGCAGCAAAUGGCCUUGCAGAGAUAUAAACCUCUUUGUCUUCCUAUAGAGCUCUAGGGUCUUCAAUUUGAUCCAACAUGAUUCAGGGCUGGGUUUCCACAGUGACAGAUUACACUCUUUAACUUACCGUGAUCUUUCAAUACAUUGAAAUCUUAAUUUCUUCAGGCUAGACCAAAAUCAGGCAAUAGACAGACUACCCGAUAAUAACAAAAUAUCCAGAGUUCUCUGGUUUUUAACUCUGAAAUUCUUUUGGUCCCAGCAAAUAUACAACGAUGGAAAUGAGGCCUUGAAACAUUCUUGUUGGUAAUUGUAUUGUCUCUGGGGGCUAUAUUCUUGGUGUUGCUCCUAAUCAGUAAAACUGCCCAUGUCUCAAGUGUGUACCAUGCACACACUUAAAAAUGAAUUUGUGUGUGUGGCCAUACUUAUUAUAUGGGAGAGAUUUGGAGGGGAUAGUGGGAGAAGGUGGUGGAAAUAAUAUGAUACUAAAAAGAAAAGAGUAUUUAAUGAUUAUUUUAAAAAUAAAAGAGAUUAGAAGGAAAUUCAAAAGGGGCAGCUAGGUGGCGCAAUGGAUCGAGCACCAGCCCUGAAGAUAGGAGUAUCUGAGUUCAAACUUGGCCUCAGACACUUGACACUUCUUAGCUGUGUGACCCUGGGCAAGUCACUUGACCCUAAUUGCCAUAACAACAACAAAAAAAGUAAUUUUAAUGUUAUUACUGGGCUUAUAUCUCAAAGAGAUCUUAAAGAAGGGAAAGGGACCCACACGUGCAAGAACGUUUGUGGCAGCUCUGUUUGUAGUGGCCAGAAACUGGAAACUGAGUAGAUGCCCAUCAAUUGGAGAAUGGCUGAAUAAAUUGUGGUAUAUGAAUAUUAUGGAAUAUUAUUGUUCGGUAACAAAUGACCAGCAGGAGGAUUUCAGAAAGGCUUGGAGAGAAAUGAUGCUGAGUGAAAUGAUCAGAACACAGAGAUCAUUAUACAUGGCAACAAUAAGAUUAUGUGAUGAUCAGUUCUGAUGGACGUGGCUCUGUUCAACAUUGAGAUGAUUCAGGCCAAUUCCAAUUGUUCUGUAAAGAAGAGAACCAGCUAUACCCAGAAAAAGAACUAUGGGAAAUGGGUAUGGACCACAACAGAGCAUUUCCACUCUUUCUGUUAUUGUGUGCUUAAAUCUUUGUUUUCCUUCUCAGGUUUUUUGCUUUCUUUCUAAAUCUGAUUUUCUUUAUGUAGCAAAAUAACUGUAUAAAUGUGUAUACAUAUAUUGGAUUUAACAUAUACUUUACCAUAUUUAACAUGUAUUGGACUACCUGCCAUCUAGGGGAAGGGGUGGAGGGAAGGAGGGGGAAAAUUGGAACAAAAGGUUUUGCAAUUGUCAAUGCUGAAAAAAUACCCAUGCAUAUGUUUUGUAUAUAAAAAGCUAUAAUAAAAAAAAAAAAAAGCUGCUACAAACAUUUUUGCACAUGUAGGUCCUUUUCCCUUUUUUCAUUAUCUCUUUGGGAUACAGACUCAGUAAUGGUACUGCUGAGUCAAAGGGUAUGCACAGUUUUAUAGUCCUUUGGGCAUAGUUCCAGAUUGCUCUCCAGAAUAGUUGGAUCAUUUCACAACUCCACCAACAAUGCAUUAGUGUUCCAGUUUUCCCACACCCCCUCCAACAUUUAGCAUUAUCUUUUCCUGUCAUUUUUGCCAAUCUGAGAAGUGUGAAAUGGUAUCUCAGGUUGACACAAAAAAAUUUCAAAUCAGCACCACAAUCUCAGAUACUCUUGUUUAUACAGCGUAUAUGAUGAAAGUGUCACUGAAAAAUAACAAAAAGGAAAGAAGAGAUAGAUUAAAUGGAUAAUACAGAGAGUUUCAGACAAUACAAUUUUGAGUAUAUUAAAAAGAUCAAGCUAUGAAUGGUGGGAAUAUCAAAAGCCUGGAAAUUCUUAAUUCUUAAAAAAAAGUCUCAAUAGCUACUGAACCAUAUAUUUACUUCAAUUUGUAAAAUAUUUAUAAGUGUAAUCAACACAUAUAAUAAUGUUAAACAAAAUGAAUAUACUACUUUAAGGUCUAUAGUAUGUUUCAUAUAUCCCUUUUGAUCCUCACCAUAUCUCUUGUGAAGUAGGUGUUAUUAUUAUUACAAUAUUAGCACAUAUCAAGGAUAUCCUUAAUGAAAGUUUGAAAUCAUAAGCAUGCUUUGGUAAGUGAUGUUCUAUAGAAAAUCACAUUUUCCUAGCCUUUCUAGCUAAAUUGGCCAAAUUGAAAAGUAAAUACAAGAUCCCUCUGUAGAUUACUAUUGUUAAUAUUUUUUAAAAGCAUUUAAUUUAGCUGAGUAAAAUUACCUUAAAAAUUACUUCCUCUACUCUUCAACAAGGUAGCUUCUAUGCAUAUAGCAAAAUAAUCCAAGAUUCUUUGAAAUAUUAAACAGUAGAGAAUACUUUGUCAGUCAAACUUCUUUAUUAAUGUCUCCCAAGAUAUAAAAAAGGGAGAUGUAUGUUCACCAAAGUUAUUUGUCAGUGUCAUAUGCAAUGUCAUCAUAGAGUUCAAAAGGAAGGUCAUCGGGCCAUGGACCCCUUUGGCAAUCUGGAUAAGCCUAUGACUUCUCAGAAUAAAUUUUUUAAUGGAUAAAGUAAAAAAAAAAAAGCAAAUCAUUUAUAUAAAAAAGCAGUUUUCAAAAUAUUUUUGAAAACAAGUUCACAAACGGAGUGGAUGCCCAUCAGUUGGAGAAUGCCUGAAUAAAUUGUGGUAUAUGAAUAUUAUGGAAUAUUAUUGUUCUGUAAGAAAUGACCAGCAGGAUGAUUUCAGAAAGGCCUGGAGAGACUUACACGAACUGAUGCUGAGUGAAAUGAGCAGGACCAGGAGAUCAUUAUAUACUUCAACAACAAUACUAUAUGAUGACCAGUUCUGAUGGACCUGGCCAUCCUCAGCAACAAGAUCAACCAAAUCAUUUCCAAUGGAGCAGUAAUGAACUGAACCAGCUACACCCAGAGAAAGAACUCUGGGAGAUGACUAAAAACCAUUACAUUGAACUCCCAAUCCCUAUAUUUAUGCCCACCUGCAUUUUUGAUUUCCUUCACAAGCUAAUUGUACAAUAUUUCAGAGUCUGAUUCUUUUUGUACAACAAAAUAACGUUUUGGUCAUGUAUACUUAUUGUGUAUCUAAUUUAUAUUUUAAUAUAUUUAACAUCUACUGGUCAUCCUGCCAUCUGGGGGAGGGGGUGGAGGGUAAGAGGUGAAAAAUUGGAACAAGAGGUUUGGCAAUUGUUAAUGCUGUAAAGUUACCCAUGCAUAUGACCUGUAAAUAAAAGGCUAUUAAAUAAAAAAAUUUUUUUUAAUUAAAAUUUAAAAAAAAAAAAGAAAAAAAGUUCACAAAAUCUGUGUUAUGAACCCCACAAUUGAUUGUAAAGUCUCAAAUAUUUCUGCUUAUAGAUGACAUGGUCGCGCUGUAUCAAACCCUGAAACAUUAAGAAUCUUAAUGAGAUUUGUAAUCUUUUAAAAAUAGUUUCAAAAUUAUUAUUCAUUUAUAAUUAUUCAUUUUUUAACAUUCAUUUUGUUAAAUUUUACCCUCUUUCCAGACUUUUCCAGACCCAUCAAGAAGGCAAAUAAUAAAUUAUGCAUGUUAAUUAAUGAAAACAUUUUCAUAUUAAUCAAAAAAGGGGGCAAAAGAAAUAGAGGGGGGGGAAAAGUAUGCUUUACUCUACCCUCAAAAUUCAUCAAUUCUCUCCCUGGAGGUAGGUGGCAUUCUUUCAUCAUGGGUGCUUUGAAAUUAUCUUGGAUCAUUGUAUUGAUCAGAAUAGCCAAGGCUUUCACAGUUGAUCAUUGU